GAUGAACGCUAGCUACAGGCUUAACACAUGCAAGUCGAGGGGUAGCACAAUAGUAGUAAUACUAUGGGUGACGACCGGCGCACGGGUGAGUAACACGUAUCCAACCUGCCCUGUACUCGGGGAUAGCCUUUCGAAAGAAAGAUUAAUACCCGAUGUUAUGUAUGAGCGGCAUCGCUUAUGCAUCAAAGAUUUAUCGGUACGGGAUGGGGAUGCGUUCCAUUAGGCAGUUGGCGGGGUAACGGCCCACCAAACCUACGAUGGAUAGGGGUUCUGAGAGGAAGGUCCCCCACAUUGGAACUGAGACACGGUCCAAACUCCUACGGGAGGCAGCAGUGAGGAAUAUUGGUCAAUGGCCGUAAGGCUGAACCAGCCAAGUAGCGUGAAGGAUGACUGUUUUAUUUGCUUGUAAACUUCUUUUAUAUGGGAAUAAAGUGCGCCAGGGGNGNGNGNGGGUGUAUGUACCUUAUGAAUAAGCAUCGGCUAACUCCGUGCCAGCAGCCGCGGUAAUACGGAGGAUGCGAGCGUUAUCCGGAUUUAUUGGGUUUAAAGGGAGCGUAGGCGGGUUGUUAAGUCAGUUGUGAAAGUUUGCGGCUCAACCGUAAAAUUGCAAUUGAAACUGGCAUCCUUGAGUGCAGCAGAGGUAGGCGGAAUUCGUGGUGUAGCGGUGAAAUGCUUAGAUAUCACGAAGAACUCCAAUUGCGAAGGCAGCUUACCGGAGUGUAACUGACGCUGAUGCUCGAAAGUGUGGGUAUCAAACAGGAUUAGAUACCCUGGUAGUCCACACAGUAAACGAUGAAUACUCGCUGUUGGCGAUAUACGGUCAGCGGCCAAGCGAAAGCAUUAAGUAUUCCACCUGGGGAGUACGCCGGCAACGGUGAAACUCAAAGGAAUUGACGGGGGCCCGCACAAGCGGAGGAACAUGUGGUUUAAUUCGAUGAUACGCGAGGAACCUUACCCGGGCUUGAAUUGCAGAGGAAUGUGGUGGAAACAUUACAGCCGUAAGGUCUCUGUGAAGGUGCUGCAUGGUUGUCGUCAGCUCGUGCCGUGAGGUGUCGGCUUAAGUGCCAUAACGAGCGCAACCCUCAUUGAUAGUUACCAUCGGGUAAUGCCGGGGACUCUAUCAAGACUGCCGUCGUAAGAUGUGAGGAAGGUGGGGAUGACGUCAAAUCAGCACGGCCCUUACGUCCGGGGCUACACACGUGUUACAAUGGCAGGUACAGCAGGUUGCUACACAGCGAUGUGAUGCUAAUCCGUAAAACCUGUCUCAGUUCGGAUCGAAGUCUGCAACCCGACUUCGUGAAGCUGGAUUCGCUAGUAAUCGCGCAUCAGCCACGGCGCGGUGAAUACGUUCCCGGGCCUUGUACACACCGCCCGUCAAGCCAUGAAAGCCGGGGGUACCUGAAGUCCGUAACCGUUGAGGAUCGGCCGAGGGUAAAACCGGUGAUUGGGGCU
rnacentral:rRNA from 1 species